GACGCCAUUUACAUUGGGGGACAACUCAUUUUUUUGCAUGGAAUAAAUAGUGUGGAGGUGGUAGAUUCCAAAUGAAACACUUUCAAGUAGAUUGGUUAGCCAAACCAGGAAACCAAAAGUUUGAACCUAAUCCUAUUAGGACAAGGCGUCAGGCUUAUGGUUGGCUCAAACAACAUUGAACUAAACCCAAUUGAAAAGUUGGGUUAAUUCAUGUGCUAGCAAUUUAUUAAUCCAAAAGAUUUAUAAUAAAUCCAAUUAGAUUAGACCAAGAUUAAAUUUUUAAUGUGUGUGACUCAUUAGGUUCUAUAUCCAGCCACAGUAGACUCA
rnacentral:lncRNA from 1 species